GCUGGUAGCUACUUCAGUUAACAUCAACGUCAAAGGAAUUGUAAACAACAUUGUUUGCGCUCAACAUAUCGACUCCAGCACACUGAAUUUUUGUGGCGCGAGCAGUCAUACAGUCCAACAGCACCAAAGACGUAGAAGCAUUUGAAAACCAGCCAGAUGCUAGGGAUCUUGGUAUUGAGGGAAAUUCGGCUCGAAAUCAUCACUCUUAACUAUAGGUGUGUUACAUACAGUGUGUCCA